rnacentral:rRNA from 1 species
GAUGAACGCUGGCGGCGUGCCUAAUACAUGCAAGUCGAGCGAACAGACGAGGAGCUUGCUCCUCUGACGUUAGCGGCGGACGGGUGAGUAACACGUGGAUAACCUACCUAUAAGACUGGGAUAACUUCGGGAAACCGGAGCUAAUACCGGAUAAUAUAUUGAACCGCAUGGUUCAAUAGUGAAAGACGGUUUUGCUGUCACUUAUAGAUGGAUCGGCGCCGCAUUAGCUAGUUGGUAAGGUAACGGCUUACCAAGGCGACGAUGCGUAGCCGACCUGAGAGGGUGAUCGGCCACACUGGAACUGAGACACGGUCCAGACUCCUACGGGAGGCAGCAGUAGGGAAUCUUCCGCAAUGGGCGAAAGCCUGACGGAGCAACGCCGCGUGAGUGAUGAAGGUCUUCGGAUUGUAAAACUCUGUUAUUAGGGAAGAACAAAUGUGUAAGUAACUAUGCACGUCUUGACGGUACCUAAUCAGAAAGCCACGGCUAACUACGUG